GAAGCCCAGCUUGCUGGGUGGAUUAGUGGCGAACGGGUGAGUAACACGUGAGUAACCUGCCCUUGACUCUGGGAUAAGCGCUGGAAACGGCGUCUAAUACCGGAUACGACCUGCCCCGGCAUCGGGUGUGGGUGGAAAGUUUUUCGGUCAAGGAUGGACUCGCGGCCUAUCAGCUUGUUGGUGAGGUAAUGGCUCACCAAGGCGACGACGGGUAGCCGGCCUGAGAGGGUGACCGGCCACACUGGGACUGAGACACGGCCCAGACUCCUACGGGAGGCAGCAGUGGGGAAUAUUGCACAAUGGGCGCAAGCCUGAUGCAGCAACGCCGCGUGGGGGAUGACGGCCUUCGGGUUGUAAACCUCUUUUAGUAGGGAAGAAGGGCUUCGGCUUGACGGUACCUGCAGAAAAAGCACCGGCUAACUACGUGCCAGCAGCCGCGGUAAUACGUAGGGUGCAAGCGUUGUCCGGAAUUAUUGGGCGUAAAGAGCUCGUAGGCGGUUUGUCGCGUCUGCUGUGAAAACCCGAGGCUCAACCUCGGGCCUGCAGUGGGUACGGGCAGACUAGAGUGCGGUAGGGGAGAAUGGAAUUCCUGGUGUAGCGGUGGAAUGCGCAGAUAUCAGGAGGAACACCGAUGGCGAAGGCAGUUCUCUGGGCCGUAACUGACGCUGAGGAGCGAAAGCGUGGGGAGCGAACAGGAUUAGAUACCCUGGUAGUCCACGCCGUAAACGUUGGGCGCUAGAUGUGGGGACCUUUCCACGGUUUCCGUGUCGCAGCUAACGCAUUAAGCGCCCCGCCUGGGGAGUACGGCCGCAAGGCUAAAACUCAAAGGAAUUGACGGGGGCCCGCACAAGCGGCGGAGCAUGCGGAUUAAUUCGAUGCAACGCGAAGAACCUUACCAAGGCUUGACAUAUACCGGAAACUUCCAGAAAUGGUUGCCCCGCAAGGUCGGUAUACAGGUGGUGCAUGGUUGUCGUCAGCUCGUGUCGUGAGAUGUUGGGUUAAGUCCCGCAACGAGCGCAACCCUCGUUCUAUGUUGCCAGCACGUUAUGGUGGGAACUCAUAGGAGACUGCCGGGGUCAACUCGGAGGAAGGUGGGGAUGACGUCAAAUCAUCAUGCCCCUUAUGUCUUGGGCUUCACGCAUGCUACAAUGGCCGGUACAAAGGGCAGCGAUACCGUAAGGUGGAGCGAAUCCCAAAAAGCCGGUCUCAGUUCGGAUUGAGGUCUGCAACUCGACCUCAUGAAGUCGGAGUCGCUAGUAAUCGCAGAUCAGCAACGCUGCGGUGAAUACGUUCCCGGGCCUUGUACACACCGCCCGUCAAGUCAUGAAAGUCGGUAACACCCGAAGCCA
rnacentral:rRNA from 1 species